GAUAUAAAUGGUUACAUGUAUAUAAUUAUAGUAUUGUUUUGGAUGCUUAAAUCUAUAGAAAUUAUGUCCAUUUCUUGGAGUGUACGAAGCUCGUACACUUAUGCAGUUGAAUUCAAGUUUUCCUUCCAUUCAUGCACUACACUAAGUUGGAGUGUUCUCAAAUAGUUACUAGCAUAUGGAAAUCAGUUGCUCGAUUACAUGUUAUUGGCAAUCACCAAAUGGAUUUCAUCUUCCAAGGCACUCCAUUCAGGACAUAACUAUCCGGCAAAGCCAAGAUCCUAACGAGAUCAAGAGGCAGAGAGAUAGGAGUGGUAUGCAAAAAACUUAAGAUGAGAUUUCAAAGCGCAAUUUUUGGAAAUGGCCUGCUGUCACGGAGGCUUGUGGGGAGGCCAGUUUACACCAUUCACUUUUCAAACUUCGUAUUAAGAUUCACAAUAAGAUGUACUUCCAUUUGACUGUACCAAGUACUCAAAAAUCGUUCGAGUAUUUGACACUCCUUAUCCUGCACAGCUGCACUUCACCUUCUCAGAGCUCAGGUUGGAGCCUUGUGUUCUAACAUUGAAUCUUAUGUUUAUGCUGCACCAUUUAGGGGUUUGAUGAAAAUUGUAGUAGGACUUACUCCUUAAUAGUGUUAUCGCUGGUAGGACUUAUAAUUUGACAUUAACAUGAAAGUUGCACUGAGAUGUUGGAGCACCUUGCGGCUAGGUGCUGCUGCUCUGGAUAGUUUCAUAGGCAGGAGUGUACACAUACUAUUUCUUAUAUAUUUAGUUGAUAGAAAAAUGUAUUGUCUUAUGCAGUAGCAUUGCAACAGUUGUGUACCGCGUAAUGAUAAAAGUCAGCGCACCAACGAAUAUGGUAAAGAAAAUGACAAUAUGAUUUUUGUGCACUAGGUUCUGAAAUAUGACCUUUACUUGAUUGGAAAUUUAACACCACAUUUUUAUAUUACUUUUAUUUAUCUUCUAAUAUUCUUAUUGUACCAUAGGCCUGAUAGUUCCUUGUGUGUAUAAUUCUCUUCAUUUUGCAGAAUACCUUUGGGAAACUCUAUAUGAUUAGUUUUAUUUUAAUUUUUCAAUCUUGAUUACGAUCUCAAAACAUCGCAGAGAAAUUUGACGUUUCAGAGUGGCCUGAUCACCAUGCAAACUCUGAGGUAAACUCUGUAACCUUUUUUUUGUUUUGCUUGCAUGAAGCUUCCAUGCCCCCAAUGGAAAUAUGGAUCUUGACUCUUGAGAUAGCUUCUUGCAUGGGUAUUAGCCUAUUAGGUAAUGCCUUGUGCUUCUAUACAUGUUGCAGCAGCAAAAUUGAUUUUCUUUUUUGUCAUAGUUGAUGCAAGUUGGCCAAAUUGGUUUGGACAUAUUAUGAUCAUAUGUGGUUCUGCACUAAUGUAGCAUUUGGUCUUCGAAAAUUUAAAUUUUUUUCUUGAAAGCUAACCAGUUCCUGUAGCGAAUCUGUUUCUAAUUAAUGUAGCUAAUCUGUUUCUAAUAUAUGCAGUUGGUUGGCAUCAUAUUUUUGUACUAUACAAAACUUUGUCUAACACCUAAUCCUCUACUCUGUGUUAGUGUACACAUGUCAGUGAUUUGAAUAAACACAAGAAUGCAACUCAGUAGUGAUCAAAAGGUGGCUUAAGAAAGAUGAUGAAAAUAUUAAAAAAGGCCGGUAGGAUGUAGGAUAGUUGUUUCGGACAAGAACAGGAUGAGUGGACAGAUACAUUUUCAGUUUCUAUAUAUUACCAUUUUGUCGUAACUAAGUAGUGGCCAAAUUAUUUCCUAAUUAGUUUUCAUGUUGAGCAGUUUACGAUCUCUAUCACCCUGUUCCGAGACUUGAUAUUAGAUCACAGUAUAUUAUUUUGGUUAGAUGUGUUCAAUCGCCCCUCGCCAAAGAUGUUGAAUGUGGCAGCAGGGUUUGUAGCAAAUAUUCUUGUGCUUCCAAAUUUGGUGGCUUUAUUUUUAAUCUCUGUCUUGUUUUGUUUAUUUGGAAUCUUAUAUUACAUGAAUUGUUUUGUUGGUGAGAUCUUUUAGCCGACAUUAUUAGUUUGAUGAACUAUUCAUAUUGACUUAAAAAAAUGUUUGACACUGAUUCUAUCGGCCCUUAAGAUCUGUGGACUAAUGAUGAUACUUGAUUAUGCACCAGCUUCGAGUAAUCAAAAUCCCUAUACUGAUGUUGUAAUGCAAAUCCUUUGGCCAUCUAAUGCCAUUUUAUCCAUUUUCAGUUCUUUGGUAAUGAUUCUUUGUAGCCCACGAGGCCAUGAUGUAUACUAACGAUAGAAGUGGAACUCAGCAUUUGCAAAUGUGGAUUAAGAUAAACAUGGCUGAUGCUUUUGACCGCACUAAUGCCAGCAUCAAUCUCAUUGAAGAACCUCCAAUGAAGAAGCUAAAAUCUGAUGGUGGAUCUAACCGCGCUCCAAGAUGAAGCAUGUGUUUGACUGUAUGUAUGACAGAGGGAAGACGAUGAGAGCGUUCAGAGGACUUCACCUUUAUUUCCUUGCUCAAGGAUGAUCUAGGUAGAGAAUCAACCUGAGGUUUGGUGGUUAUUAGGGUGGUUGUACCUUUAGCCCACCAGAGUUCGAACCCCAUGUUUGUUUAACAUCUGUGUGUCUCAUAAUGGCGGAAUAUUCAUUCA